AAAGAGUACGACCUCUUGUAUAGCUUGCCUUCGUAAAGGAUAUAUCGGGAGGCCUAGUUCCUAAGCUUCCGAGCUUCUUUUGCAUCAGGAGGAAGAAUCCUGUCCUUGAGGUAUGCAACCAGUGGGUCGAUCCAACUGGGUUCAUGGCUGAUCUCCAUCACAAGCUAUGAUUCUUCCAUACUUGGGUGCUUCAGAACUUCGAAGAAGACUU
rnacentral:lncRNA from 1 species